rnacentral:rRNA from 1 species
CAUCUCUUUUUGAUAAUAAUUUAAAGUUUAAUCUGCUCAAUGAUUAUUUAAAUUGCCGCAGUAUUUUGACUGUGCAAAGGUAGCAUAAUAAUUAGUUUUUUUAUUGAAAACUGGAAUGAAUGAUUGGACGAGAAAAUUUCUGUCUCUUUAUUAUUUUUAUUGAAUUUUACUUUUAAGUUAAAAGGCUUAAAUUUUUUUAGAAGACGAGAAGACCCUAUAGAGUUUAAUUUGUAAAUUAAUUAUAAUUAUUAGUAUUUAAUUUUAUUAUUUUUUUAGUAAAUUUGGUUGGGGUGACUAGAAGAUUAAAUUAACUCUUUAAAUUUUUAAUCAAUUAUUUUUGAUUAUAGAAUCUAUAUUUUUAAUUUUAAAAUAAAUUACCUUAGGGAUAACAGCGUAAUUUUUCUUUAGAGUUCUUAUUAAAAGAAAAGUUUGCGACCUCGAUGUUGGAUUAAAGUUUGAUUUAGGUGCAGUAGCUUUAUAUCUAAGUCUGUUCGACUUUUAAAACUUUACAUGAUCUGAGU